rnacentral:rRNA from 1 species
AGGACCCGUCUUGAAACACGGACCAAGGAGUCUAACAUGUGCGCGAGUCAUUGGGACUUGUAAAAGCCUAAAGGCGCAAUGAAAGUGAAGGUCGUCCUUAGCGUCGACCGAGGGAGGAUGGCUCGCGUCACGAUGCGAGCCCGCACUCCCGGGGCGUCUCGUGCUCAUUACGAGCAGAGGCGCACCCAGAGCGUACACGUUGGGACCCGAAAGAUGGUGAACUAUGCCUGGUCAGGACGAAGUCAGGGGAAACCCUGAUGGAGGUCCGUAGCGAUUCUGACGUGCAAAUCGAUCGUCGGAACUGGGUAUAGGGGCGAAAGACUAAUCGAACCAUCUAGUAGCUGGUUCCCUCCGAAGUUUCCCUCAGGAUAGCUGGCACUCGCUUGAGCGAGUCUCAUCUGGUAAAGCGAAUGAUUAGAGGCCUUGGGGCCGAAACGACCUCAACCUAUUCUCAAACUUUAAAUGGGUGAGAUCUCUGGCUUGCUUGAACGUUGAAGCCACGAGAUGCAAUUUAUUGCAAUGGAUCAGAGUGCCAAGUGGGCCAAUUUUGGUAAGCAGAACUGGCGCUGUGGG